AAGAACAUCGGGAAUGAAAGAUUCAACCAACAUCACCGCAAUACCAUACACAGAUUUGUCAAUACUUUGGGGAGAAAUAGUUUGGUAUGCAAGAUUUGCAAGAUAGAUGAUGGUGAAGACUGGUUGGGAUGUGAUUCAUGUGGGCAGUACUUUCAUGCAAGUUGUCUGAAUUUUGACUUUGGACAAACUCUGACAGAGUACUUUGCUUGCCCAUAAUCAGACAUGACAAUUGUAUAAUAAUACAAAACAUAAAUUGUAAGAUUUAAAAGUGCCGAAAAAAAAAGACUUACCGAUUAGAA